UCUGACCUCGGCAAAUACACGUUUAAUACCGCCGUGAACCGAAGUCUGCCGCUCAGAUUCCCGCUGCUUUGCUAUGCCCUUAGACUGCUCGCGCCUGCAGGUAAAAACCGCGUUCGUUCAGAUGCUGGCUUUGAGGGCUGUGCUUUCAAAUAGGAGCGCUGAGAUCUACCCCCGUUGUCUCCGAAAUGUUUCGUCCAGCAACAAUGUAUAGGGAUCAAAUCUACUGUAACGGGCAGUGCUUGAGGAUUUCUCAGCUUCCGGCAUGAUUUACUGGGUGACUUCUUUCUGUUGCAACCAAAGCAACCAAUAGCAUAAAUAAGACUUCCUGUACAACCACCAGCAAGCUGACCAGUCAGGCUUUGUUCAGUUUCCACAUCUGUAAAAUCAGCUCAAAACAUGAAGGAGAUUCUGAGUUUUAUUUAAAAAUAAAAUUGUUGCAGUCAUCUUUUUUGCAAGGAGAGCCUAGGACCUACGGAUAUAGCAGAAGAACACAAGUGGCUGUACCCCAUGCCAGCCUAUCAGGAGGUUUUAAGUGAGAAAAGAAAACUCCCUUCACGCAGUGCAGUGUUUUACUAGUUGAAUCACCCUUCAUGUUCUCAACAGUCGGGGCCCAGCUGUGUUCCAGACCAAAUAAUGACAAGAAAAGUCAGAUGAGCUAAUAGGAGCUGGGAAGGGAGACCAAGACUUGUCCAGAUUAACGAAAGGAUUCAAACCUAUGUCAUCUCAGUCUUAAUGCAGCAUCCCAGUGAUAUAUGCUUAUUUAGCAGUUUACAUCUGGUGCCUAAUCCAAAGUGUAAGCUCAUCUCAUUGCCCCUCCUUGCAUUCCUACGCUAGCUUCGUGCUUUGUGUGACAGCAGUAAGCGUUCAGUGGGUGGGGAACAUGAACUUCACAGCUCCGUGCAAGUCUGUUAAUGCCAGCGCUAAUAGCACUGACAGAAAUAAAUCCAGCCUCUGCACUGAAGAAAACAGUGGAGCUCUUUACAGGACUUUUCAAUCAGUUGGUCAGAGCAGCUCGGGAUGUACCUGGUGUUUUCAAAGGAAAAGCUCAUCACCAGAGAGGCCUGAACUUCCCCCACUGUGCUUCUGGUAAGCAUUAGGCAAGCUAAUAGCUAUGCAAUGAGCAGACAUUACCACAUAAAAAGAAGUGUCACCGUAAAACUAUCCACCUUUAGAAUAAGGUUGGCUCCCAUCAAGUAAAUCGACAGAUUCUGAGAUCAGAAAGGGCUGUUGUGUUCCUCUCUUGCUUUAUUGGCCAGAAAUCUCCAGCCAGUAAUUCCUGCCUCACGUUGUUCCUUUCGGCAGGGUAAAGAGUAUCUCUGAAGAAACGCUAAUUCUCAUUUAGCGAUGGGCGAUCCAUGGCAUCAGUAAAGACAGACAAGGUGCUUUCGUGUAUAUAUAGAUUUUAAAAAAUGUAAUGAAUCAGGACAGGAGAAAAUAAACAUGCGCCAACAUAUGCCGCACCUUUACAUGCAUCCACAUUGCCCAUUCUCAACUAAUUUCUACAUGGUUUAUUGUACAAGAAGCAAAGACUCACUGUCCCUUCACUGUGAGAAGAACACAGUUAUUACUACCUCUACAGAGUACUCGAAAGUCAUGAGUGCUGAAGUAGAAAGCUUUUUGGCAUAGCGUGGGGAAGUUGUAACUUACCAGGAACACCCAAAGACUACGUGCUUCCUCAGUACUCACAUACUAUGAACCAGCUCAGUGUAUUUUAUGCUAAGAAUAGUAGGAUGCUGCUCUGUGCACACCUUGUGAAAUGCAGCAGCAAUUUGGAAUGAUGCUCCCAUUAUACUGUGAUUUCAUGAUUUUUUUCAGUAUUUAAAGGAAAGAAAUGUCAGUUUGUGCCAACUGCUGAAGAGAAGAGCACAAAAAAGCCUGCAUCCAGGGAAAAGAGAAAUAUACUGCUUGGCUGUUUUUGCAGGAGAAAUGACGUUUAGAAAAUCUUUCCAAAUGUAAACACAAUCAGAAAGACAAUAAAAACAGAUUCUAUUACAUGUGGAGAUGGUCCCAUAUAUAGAGAGCAAAUUUACACUUUAUGCACCUAUUAAAAUACAACAAGAUUUGAAAUUGCUUUUUAAGUAAAUGGAUAUUGCACUUGAGCCCAGCAAUCCGACACCAGUCAAAAAUGUGGUUAUGGGAAGGAGGGGGAGUGCACGUGUGUGUUCUGGAAACCCCAGCUCAAAUCCGAACUGGACCUCUUACACAGCUAAUGACCUAACUGCUAUGAUGUUUGCUAGAAUAGCAGUUUCCUGUGGAAGAGGCAUUCCCGUUAAGGAGAGCCCCACCCAAGGGUGUGAUCAGGUAGUAAAAAUAAUUUAACACCUAGGAGUUUUACUUUUGUGUGUGUGACUGCAAGGCCAUUGCAGUCUCACAGUCUUGGUGGCUUCAGGCCAUAAUAAACUCAUGAGCUCCUCUAAUUUUUCUAAAUAUGCACCAGCACCUGGUGAAUCAGGCAAGUUUCCUGGGGAUUACAGACCACUUCUCUCCAAAUCCUCCUCGGUAAUCGACAGCUUCCAGAACCUCUGGAAAUCUUCCAAAAGCCAGUGUAUCUAGGAAUCCUGCCAGGACCAGCCUCCACAGCACACAGCUGUAGACCUGACAAAAAGCAAGUGGGAGUAGCCCACUCAGAUGCAAAGGUGACAGUUAGCAGCUGCAGCAUCUCAGAGGUGUCUUAAUGCCCGGCUUGGUGAGCAAAGCACAAGGGUGGGGGUAUGGCUUAUUUGGGGCGCGCACACCACAUAUAGGUAAUUCCAGUAUUUGCUAAGGGCACAAAGUCACCUGUUAUUCUUUUAGCUCAGAUUUCUUGGCUGUUGCACCUUAUUUAUUUGCAUCUCCAGUUUUCAAUCUGCUUAAAAAAACCAAAACAAAACACAAAAACAAAAUUCAAGCAUUACAAUAGUAGCUCUAGAGUCCAAUGAGACUUAGAAAAAAAAAACAAUCUCAAUUUUGUGCUGUCUUUUCACACUUAAGCUUUUAGGAUUUACGCUUUCAAGCUGUCAGUCACCCUAGGAGCUGGAGACUACAUCUCCCAGUGGCAGCUUUAGAAAAA